rnacentral:rRNA from 1 species
AUGACUAAAGACAACCUCAGAAAAAGGGGGAUUGACAAACCGCCAAGUUGUUUGUUUUGUUCUGAAGAGAAAAGUGUCCAUCACCUUUUCUUUGAAUGUGUAGUUGCUAAGGCAACAUGGAUCCAUGUUAAGAACUUUUUCAAACUCCCUCUUGGGACAGAUUACCUUUCUAUUGCCAAAUACUGGCCGGCUAGCAAAAAUCAUUCUGCUUUGAACUCCAUUUGCGCUUGUGUGCUAUGGUGUCUAUGGAAAACUAGGAAUGCACAUGUUUUUAACAACGCUAUCUGGUCUGACACAAAGCAGGUCUGGUGGCUGAUCCUUACAACCCUAAAGAAAUGGAGAAUCAUCUUCAAGCAUCAAGAGGAGAGGGUGGACGCUUUCUCGAAAAUGCUCCCAGAACAAAUCAAGAAGCCAUACUGCUUGCCAGUGGGGUGA